GAUGAACGCUGGCGGCGUGCCUAACACAUGCAAGUCGAACGGAGUUAUUAUUAUGAAGUUUUCGGAUGGAUUAAUAAUAACUUAGUGGCGGACGGGUGAGUAACGCGUGGGUAACCUGCCUCAUACAGGGGGAUAACAGUUGGAAACGGCUGCUAAAACCGCAUAACAUUGCGAGGUCGCAUGAACAUGCAAUUAAAUAUUUAUAGGUAUGAGAUGGGCCCGCGUCUGAUUAGCUAGUUGGUGGGGUAAUGGCCUACCAAGGCGACGAUCAGUAGCCGGCUUGAGAGAGUGACCGGCCACAUUGGGACUGAGACACGACCCAAACUCCUACGGGAGGCAGCAGUGGGGAAUAUUGCACAAUGGGGGAAACCCUGAUGCAGCGACGCCGCGUGAGUGAAGAAGUAUUUCGGUAUGUAAAGCUCUAUCAGCAGGGAAGAAAAUGACGGUACCUGACUAAGAAGCCCCGGCUAACUACGUGCCAGCCGCCGCAGUAA
rnacentral:rRNA from 1 species